rnacentral:rRNA from 1 species
GACGAACGCUGGCGGCGUGCUUAACACAUGCAAGUCGUACGGUAAGGCCCUUUCGGGGGUCCACGAGUGGCGGACGGGUGCGUAACACGUGAGUAACCUGCCCACAACUUUGGGAUAACGCUAGGAAACUGGUGCUAAUACUGGAUAUGUGCUCCUGCUGCAUGGUGGGGGUUGGAAAGCUCCGGCGGUUGUGGAUGGACUCGCGGCCUAUCAGCUUGUUGGUGGGGUAGUGGCCUACCAAGGCGGCGACGGGUAGCCGGCCUGCGGGGGUGACCGGCCACACUGGGACUGAGGGACGGCCCAGACGCCGACGGGAGGCAGCAGGGGGGAAGAUUGCACAAGGGGCGCAAGCCUGAUGCAGCAACGCCGCGUGCGGGAUGACGGCCUUCGGGGUGGAAAACGGUUUCAGCAGGGACGAAGCUUUUUGUGACGGUACCUGCAGAAGAAGCACCGGCUAACUACGUG